GACGACAAGUUCCGGGUUCGAGCCCCGGGCAACCCA
rnacentral:tRNA from 1 species